CUUAGCAAUUCUCAUGAUGGUGAUUGAGGAACUAGAGCCCUCAGUUAUAAGGAUGAGUUGCAACUUUUGGAGUAACAAAUGAAUGUCAAGUUUGAGCAUAUCGAGAGACACUUCGAAAAAAUUGCAAAAAGUCUUCCUGCUUUAGGAACUAAAACAAACAACUAAGGGUAAAUGUAGUUCAUUGUGACCUAUCAACAUACCUUUUCAUACACGUAGGCAAUAUAUCUUCGAUAAAGAUUCAGAUGAAAAGAUGACUAUCAGCCAUUCUAAUUCAAUAGACAUCAACGGUAUGGUGGCAAUAGGAGAAGAGGCAUGUAUGGGAAUCAUGAAAGGGAAAAUCGAUUGAAAAUUGAUAUGCCUAAUUUUUAUGGAGAUCUCCAAAUAGAAGAAUUCUUAAAUUUGGUAAUGAAUGUGGACGAUUCUUCGACUCUGUGUACACAGCAUUUUAAAUGAGUCAAAUUGGUGGCUUCAUAGUUGAAAGGUGAUGCUUAUGCUUCGUGGGAACGGCUAUAAUCUAUAAGGAACCAAGGGAAAGGCCAAUUUGUACUUGGCACUAUUAUCAAAGGCGCGCCUUAGGCGCAGCGAGCAUCGACCAAAGGGAAGAGGGCACAGCACAUCAUUGAGGAGCACCAAGGCGCACCCCAAGAAGGC
rnacentral:misc_RNA from 1 species